rnacentral:lncRNA from 1 species
CACAAAUGGAGCCAGGCUAAUGGAGAGGAAGGAGAGCUUUUUCCAAACCAAUAGAGAAAGGCCCACAGGAAAUGUUUAGCAGAUGUGGCAAACCCAGACAGUUAUGAAAUCAUUGUUCAUUCAUAACUUUACGUAAGUCUGAGCAUGCAGACAGUUGCUUUGCUUUAUUUUGGUUUUACUUUCUGUUUUCUUGCUUGAGAAGAACCCUAGAGCUUCAGGUAAACUCAACCCCCUCUUCGCAGAAAUGUCACUCAUGCUCAUCACAGAUGACGCAGAUGCCGAGGAAGCCACAGAGAGCAAUUGGGCACAGGCGCCUCACCUCUCCGGCACAGCUAUGGGAAGAUGCUUUUGUCCGCCCAGCCAGGGCCAGGAUGACACCAGGGACGCUCAAACGUCUACAGCCAAUUUGGUGACCCCCUUUAAUUUUUGGAAAUGCCACUGCUGGCCCCUCACAGUGGAAAUUCUUCAUGUGCAACCAGCUCAUAAAUAUAGUGUGUUGGAGGCACCUGGAUGGUUAGGACUCAGGACAAUAUUCUCCCCAAAUAUUUUCUCAACAUCCAUCUUCCUGGUGGCAAUUAGUGUCUGAGAUUCUCUUUAACUUUUCCUUGCCGGGGUGACUGCAGUCAGCCGUCAAGGCAAGAAAAGGGAAGUCUGAAAAAGUGUAAAACUGAUCAUCAAAACACAAAACUUUACGUGUUUUUCUCUGAAAGCGCAUGAAACUGGCUGCUUAGCUUCCAAAUGGAAACCCCACACUGCAUGUUCUCCGAGGCUUUUCUGCUUUCUUUUGACAUUUUGACACUGAGCUCUGAAAUAAUAGUGUUAACUGUUGAUCUUUUUUUCCUUUGGAAAUUGGCUUUUGACACUAGACAGCUGGAAAAUCUGAAAGGUUAGCGCACAUCUGGUGCGUCUACCUCAAUAUAAAUGCCAAUGUUCCAUCAAAGCUUUUCACAGAUCAAUGAAAUAAUGAUCACAGGUGCCAAGACACAGGGAUUCACUAAGAUGGACAGCCACACAGAAUUAUGACAAGCAAAGCUUCUUAUUCCUACAAUACAGGGUAGAGAGAGACAACUGUUUGAACUUUCAAAUUGUACACUGGAAGACGAGCACCAUGUUUGCAAUUGAUUCUGCCUCCUUCCAGCUUAGAGCCUUCAGUAGCAGACACGAGCAAUUUCCUACCCUGCUGAGCUCCAUGGGCUCCCAAUGGAUCCUUCAAAGCUGAGCUCCUGGUAACCUCACAGAGAAUCGCUGUGUGGGAAACCAGAGCAGGAGGCUGGAGGCAGGUAAGAGCCGGGCCAUCCACAUGGUAACAUGGAAACUGGGUUGUUUUUCCAGGGCUUGGACCAGGCUUGGGCGUGUGGCUGCUGCACGUGAGAAAUGUCCCUUCUCCCACACACGCCAGUAGCCACACCACUCUCUGAAUAGGAACACCUGCUCUAUGUACCCAGCCCAAUGUAUUACAAUAUUUAUUAGGCCCUCAUGCUGUGGCUAGGUAAAGUGAAGUGACAUACAUUUUAUGAAAUUUGUGUCCCCAUGUCUGUACCUUCAUUCUGACGUCACUGCUCUUGCCAAGAACAGAUCAAAACCGUUGCAUGUUUGGGUUUGUUACUCCCUUGUUCUUCCCACUGUGCUGGCAAGAGGGCGCGGGCGAUAAAUGAGGUCAGGAACACCUGCUCCAUUGCAACUGCUUCUGGACAGACCAGACCUCAGGCCACAUGCUCACCAGUGCUGGGGUUGAGCCCUAUUCUGUGACCCCACCACAAUGAAUAUUGAGGCAGAAAUCGUGAAUAUGACAAGGUCCUGCCCUCAUACUCCUUAAGAAAAAGGAAAAUAUUUUAAAUGAAAUCAUCUUCAUUGUUACAUUUACAAAUGAGGGAUAAAAACCAAACACAUAGAAAAGUAUUUUAAAAAUUCCUGUGUACCCCCAGCGACAUGUACUGUGACACCGUGAGCAUUUUGGCGUCUAUCCAUCCAGAUACGUUCCUACCUGCAUGCAAUGGCAGGAAAGAUCCAGAUACAGAUUUCCAUGCCCAAACACCCUACACCCAGUUGAUGUCCCAGACCUGCUAUCCCAUAACCGACUCUUCCCUUAACAGCAUACCUUACAUGUCCUCUUAGUCAACGGACACACAUCAGCUUCGUCUUCAGUGUCUGUCCAGUAUUCGUGCCAUGCCACUCCAUAAUUUCUUCACAAAAAUCUCCCAUUUCAGGCAAUUUAUGUUUAUUGUUAAGCCAGUCACAUUUAGCAGUGUGGGGUCGUGUACCAACUUUAGUGACACCAAUGUUAAUCAGUUCUGAUAACCACUACAUUGGACAAGCCAGGAUUUUUUUUUUUAAUUCCUACUUGUUUCAAACAACAGUACGUGUUUACAAGAAGGCUUUUGUAAUUCUAUAUUUGCAAAAAGUGUGUAUGUGUCUGGUUCUUUUCUGCGGAUACAUUUCUGGAAGUGCAAUCUCUGGGUUGGCAUUUUGUACACUUUAAACCUUUCUCGUAUGUGCCCCCAAAUCGUCCUCCAGAAAGUUGGCACUGGAGCACACCACCCACAGCGGGGUAUGAGGCCUGAGACGAAAGUGAAUCCUGUGUCUUCUUCAGAGACACAGAAGCUGCUGAUUUCUUCCUGUUCUGGAGACUGACACUUAAAUGUGUCUCAGAAGUGGUUUGGGGCAAAGUAGGGGCAAAAAUUUUCAUGUGGAGGCAACAAAUUUAAAUAACCAAACACAAUGAACCAAAAUUAUCGAUUCUCUGAGUCAUUUUAUAACUGAAUAGUCAAUUCUCUGAGUCGUUUUAUAACACCUGGGACAGCGUCGUGGAGACUGAACACGUGAGUUCUCUGAGUUGCUUUAUACCACCUGGGAGAGUGUGGUGGAGAUUGAACACAUCAAUUCUCUGAGUCGUUUUAUAAUGCCUGAAAGAGCAUCAUCGAGACUGAACACGCGGUGAAUUGCAGCCACUACUCAACAUCAUGCUUUUCACGUCUAGUCUGGAUGGAACAUUCUAGAAGGGCUCUAGGAGACACGUGGAUCCUGGAGUAAGUUGGGUAAAGAAACAUGUUAAAGGAAGGUAGCUCUUAUUUUACCAGAGCCUGUCCUUUGGUUUUUGUUAAAUCCAGAGUAUCUUAAAAUUUAAGAAUUACAUUUUCAGGUAGAAGCUUCAAUACUGUUUAUUUGAAUAAAAUAUAAAUAAUUUAUAUUAACAAGGCUGCUUAAAGUUUAUUGAAUUCUCAAUUUUUUAUGACCUUAUCAUCUCCUUAUGAAAUAACUGUUACUGAACAAGAAUUAAGUCUUAU